rnacentral:lncRNA from 1 species
UGUGUGUAACCCUUUGAGGUACAACAUCAUUAUGAACAGCAGCACCUUCAUUUGGGUGAUAAUUGUGUCAUGGGUUUUGGGGUUUCUUUCUGAAAUCUGGCCAGUUUAUGCCACUUUUCAGCUUACUUUCUGCAAAUCAAGUGUGUUAGAUCAUUUUUAUUGUGACCGAGGACAAUUGCUCAAGGUAUCCUGUGAGGACACUCUUUUCAGAGAGUUUAUUCUUUUUCUAAUGGCUGUUUUCAUUAUCAUUGGUUCUUUGAUCCCUACGAUUGUCUCCUACACCUACAUCAUCUCCACCAACCUCAAGAUUCCGUCAGCCUCUGGCUGGAGGAAAUCCUUUUCC